CGCUGGCGGCAUGCUUUACACAUGCAAGUCGAACGGUAACAGGCCUUCGGGUGCUGACGAGUGGCGAACGGGUGAGUAAUGCAUCGGAACGUGCCCAGUCGUGGGGGAUAACUGCUCGAAAGAGCAGCUAAUACCGCAUACGAUCUGUGGAUGAAAGCGGGGGACCUUCGGGCCUCGCGCGAUUGGAGCGGCCGAUGUCAGAUUAGGUAGUUGGUGGGGUAAAGGCCUACCAAGCCGACGAUCUGUAGCUGGUCUGAGAGGACGACCAGCCACACUGGGACUGAGACACGGCCCAGACUCCUACGGGAGGCAGCAGUGGGGAAUUUUGGACAAUGGGCGCAAGCCUGAUCCAGCAAUGCCGCGUGCGGGAAGAAGGCCUUCGGGUUGUAAACCGCUUUUGUACGGAACGAAAAGGCUCUGGCGAAUACCUGGGGCUGAUGACGGUACCGUAAGAAUAAGCACCGGCUAACUACGUGCCAGCAGCCGCGGUAAUACGUAGGGUGCGAGCGUUAAUCGGAAUUACUGGGCGUAAAGCGUGCGCAGGCGGUUGUGUAAGACAGGCGUGAAAUCCCCGGGCUUAACCUGGGAAUGGCGCUUGUGACUGCACGGCUGGAGUACGGCAGAGGGGGAUGGAAUUCCGCGUGUAGCAGUGAAAUGCGUAGAUAUGCGGAGGA
rnacentral:rRNA from 1 species